rnacentral:rRNA from 1 species
UACGUAGGGCGCAAGCGUUGUCCGGAAUUAUUGGGCGUAAAGGGCGCGUAGGCGGCGAUUCAAGUGACGGGCGAAAUCCCUCGGCUUAACCGAGGAACUGCCUGUCAGACUGGAUUGCUUGAGGCCGGGAGAGGCGAGUGGAAUUCCCAGUGUAGCGGUGAAAUGCGUAGAUAUUGGGAAGAACGCGCGUGGCUAAGGCGGCUCCCUAGUACGGUACUGACGCUGAGACGCGAAAGCGUGGGGAGCGAACAGG